CGGCACGGGUGAGUAACACGUAUCCAACCUGCCGUCUACUCUUGGACAGCCUUCUGAAAGGAAGAUUAAUACAAGAUGGCAUCAUGAGUCCGCAUGUUCACAUGAUUAAAGGUGUUCCGGUAGACGAUGGGGAUGCGUUCCAUUAGAUAGUAGGCGGGGUAACGGCCCACCUAGUCAACGAUGGAUAGGGGUUCUGAGAGGAAGGUCCCCCACAUUGGAACUGAGACACGGUCCAA
rnacentral:rRNA from 1 species